rnacentral:rRNA from 1 species
GACGAACGCUGGCGGCGUGCCUAACACAUGCAAGUCGAGCGGAGCGGCGGACGGGUGAGUAAGGCCUAGGACUCUGCCUGGUAGUGGGGGAUCACGUCAGGAAACGGGCGCUAAUACAGCAGACUCUCAGAUGAGUCUAGGGCGUAUUAGCUAGUUGGUGGGGGAAAGGCCUACCACGGCGACGAUCCGUAACUGGCCUGAGAGGAUGAUCAGGCACACUGGAACUGAGACACGGUCCAGACUCCUACGGGAGGCAGCAGUGGGGAAUAUUGGACAAUGGACGAAAGCCUGAUCCAGCCAUGCCGCGUGUGUGAAGAAGGUCUUCGGAUUGUAAAGCACUUUAAGUUGGGAGGCGUUACCAAAAGAAUAAGCACCGGCUAACUUCGUGCCAGCAGCCGCGGUAAUAC